rnacentral:rRNA from 1 species
AGCCGCGGUAAUACGUAGGGUGCGAGCGUUAAUCGGAAUUACUGGGCGUAAAGCGUGCGCAGGCGGUGCUGUAAGACAGGCGUGAAAUCCCCGGGCUCAACCUGGGAAUUGCGCUUGUGACUGCAGUGCUGGAGUACGGCAGAGGGGGAUGGAAUUCCGCGUGUAGCAGUGAAAUGCGUAGAUAUGCGGAGGAACACCGAUGGCGAAGGCAGUCCCCUGGGCCUGUACUGACGCUCAUGCACGAAAGCGUGGGGAGCAAACAGGAUUAGAUACCCUGGUAGUCCACGCCCUAAACGAUGUCAACUGGUUGUUGGGAAUUUACUUUCUCAGUAACGAAGCUAACGCGUGAAGUUGACCGCCUGGG